rnacentral:rRNA from 1 species
GACGAACGCUGGCGGCGUGCUUAACACAUGCGAGUCGAACGGAAAGGCCCUGCUUGCAGGGUACUCGAGUGGCGAACGGGUGAGUAACACGUGGGUGAUCUGCCCUGCACUUCGGGAUAAGCCUGGGAAACUGGGUCUAAUACCGGAUAGGAGCCAUUUUUAGUGUGAUGGUUGGAAAGUUUUUUCGGUGUAGGAUGAGCUCGCGGCCUAUCAGCUUGUUGGUGGGGUAAUGGCCUACCAAGGCGGCGACGGGUAGCCGGCCUGAGAGGGUGGACGGCCACAUUGGGACUGAGAUACGGCCCAGACUCCGACGGGAGGCAGCAGUGGGGAAUAUUGCACAAUGGGCGCAAGCCUGAUGCAGCGACGCCGCGUGGGGGAUGACGGCCUUCGGGUUGUAAACUCCUUUCGCUAGGGACGAAGCUUUUUGUGACGGUACCUAGAUAAGAAGCACCGGCUAACUACGUG